CAAUAGCGUAUAUUAAAGUUGUUGCGGCUAAAAGCUCGUAGUUGGAUUUCUGUCGAGGACGUCCGGUCCGCUUUUUGAGCGUGUAUCUGGUUCGGCCUUGGCAUCCUCCGGGGAAUGUUGCUGCGCUUGAUUGCGUGGUGCAGAUUUCCGGACUUUUACUUUGAGGAAAUUAGAGUGUUUACAGCAGGCAAACGCCGUGAAUAUAUUAGCAUGGAAUAAUAAUAUAGGACCUUCGGCCUAUUUUGUUGGUUUCUGGGACGAGGGUAAUGAUUAAUAGGGAUAAUUGGGGGCAUUCGUAUCAACUAGUCAGAGGUGAAAUUCUUGGAUUUGGUUGACGACGAACUACUGCGAAAGCAUUUGCCAAGGAUGUUUUCAUUGAUCAAAGAACGAAAUG
rnacentral:rRNA from 1 species